GAUUCUUGGUCAUUUUAGAGGAAGUAACAAGGAUUCCCCUAGUAACUGCGAGUGAAGCGGGAAAAGCUCAAAUUUAAAAUCUGGCGGUCUCCGGCCGUCCGAGUUGUAAUCUAGAGAAGUGCCAUCCGCGCUGGACCGUGUACAAGUCUCCUGAAUGGAGCGUCAUAGAGGGUGAGAAUCCCGUCUUUGACACGGACUGCCAGGGCUUUGUGAUGCGCUCUCAAAGAGUCGAGUUGUUUGGGAAUGCAGCUCAAAAUGGGUGGUAAAUUCCAUCUAAAGCUAAAUAUUGGCGAGAGACCGAUAGCGAACAAGUACCGUGAGGGAAAGAUGAAAAGAACUUUGGAAAGAGAGUUAAACAGUACGUGAAAUUGCUGAAAGGGAAACGCUUGAAGUCAGUCGCGUUGGCCGGGGAUCAACCUUGCUUUUGCUGGGCGUACUUUCCGGUCGACGGGUCAGCAUCAAUUUUGACCGUUGGAUAAAGUUCAGGGGAAUGUGGCAUCUUCGGAUGUGUUAUAGCCCUUGGUCGCAUACAACGAUUGGGAUUGAGGAACUCAGCACGCCGCAAGGCCGGGUACUUGUACCACGUUCGUGCUUAGGAUGCUGGCAUAAUGGCUUUAAUCGACCCGUCUUGAAACACGGACCAAGGAGUCUAACAUGCCUGCGAGUGUUUGGGUGGAAAACCCGGGCGCGUAAU
rnacentral:sRNA from 1 species